AGAGUUUGAUCCUGGCUCAGGACGAACGCUGGCGGCGUGCUUAACACAUGCAAGUCGAACGGUGAAGGAAAGCUUGCUUUCUGGAUCAGUGGCGAACGGGUGAGUAACACGUGGGCAACCUGCCCUCAGCUCUGGGAUAAGCCCGGGAAACUGGGUCUAAUACCGGAUAUGACUUCGCAUCGCAUGGUGUGGGGUGGAAAGCCUUGUGCGGCUGGGGAUGGGCCCGCGGCCUAUCAGCUUGUUGGUGGGGUAGUGGCCUACCAAGGCGACGACGGGUAGCCGGCCUGAGAGGGCGACCGGCCACACUGGGACUGAGACACGGCCCAGACUCCUACGGGAGGCAGCAGUGGGGAAUAUUGCGCAAUGGGCGGAAGCCUGACGCAGCGACGCCGCGUGGGGGAUGACGGCCUUCGGGUUGUAAACCUCUUUCAGCUCCGACGAAGCGCAAGUGACGGUAGGAGCAGAAGAAGCACCGGCCAACUACGUGCCAGCAGCCGCGGUAAUACGUAGGGUGCGAGCGUUGUCCGGAAUUAUUGGGCGUAAAGAGCUCGUAGGCGGUUUGUCGCGUCGGCUGUGAAAACCUGGGGCUCAACUCCGGGCGUGCAGUCGAUACGGGCAGACUUGAGUUCGGCAGGGGAGACUGGAAUUCCUGGUGUAGCGGUGAAAUGCGCAGAUAUCAGGAGGAACACCGGUGGCGAAGGGGGUCUCUGGGCCGAUCUGACGCUGAGGAGCGAAAGCGUGGGGAGCGAACAGGAUUAGAUACCCUAGUAGUCC
rnacentral:rRNA from 1 species